UACUCAGUUCAGAUUGCAGGCUGCAACCCGCCUGCAUGAAGUCGGAAUUGCUAGUAAUCGCGGAUCAGAAUGCCGCGGUGAAUACGUUCCCGGGUCUUGUACACACCGCCCGUCACACCAUGGGAGCCGGGAAUGCCCGAAGUCAGCGGCCCAACCGAAAGGGGGAGCUGCCGAAGGCAGGCCUGGUGACUGGGGUGAAGUCGUAACAAGGUACC
rnacentral:rRNA from 1 species